GGCCAGACUCCUACGGGAGGCAGCAGUGGGGGAUAUUGCACAAUGGGGGAAACCCUGAUGCAGCGACGCCGCGUGGGUGAAGAAGCGCCUCGGCGCGUAAAGCCCUGUCAGCAGGGAAGAAAAUGACGGUACCUGAAGAAGAAGCCCCGGCUAACUACGUGCCAGCAGCCGCGGUAAUACGUAGGGGGCAAGCGUUAUCCGGAUUUACUGGGUGUAAAGGGGGCGCAGACGGCGAUGCAAGCCAGGAGUGAAAGCCCGGGGCCCAACCCCGGGACUGCAUUGGAAACUGCCGGGCUGGAGUGCCGGAGGGGCAGGCGGAAUUCCUGGUGUGGCGGUGAAAUGCGCAGAUAUCAGGAAGAACACCGGUGGCGCAGGCGGCUUGCUGGACGGCAACUGACGCUGAGGCUCGAAAGCGUGGGGAGCAAACAGGAUUAGAUACCCGAGUA
rnacentral:rRNA from 1 species